UGCACACGCUCUGGUACCGGGAGGGAGGCGCCAUCGCUUCAUGUUUGGGGAGGUGAUCGGAGGGGGACGGCGGGGGAAGCGCGAGGUCGAGGUUGUGGUGGCGGCGGGGCGCUGGAUGCGGUUCGGGCUUGUGGAGUUAUUACAGAAGGGACAAGUAGCAUGAGGCCUGGAGGUUGCCUAACGGAACCUGAAAUUCCAAUUAGAUUAUUGCAGACAGUGCAUCUGAUGAAGAUACAAGGGUGUUUGUGCAAUUCUUGCUGACAGUUUAUGUCAAUUCUCCUUCAGUCAGCUGAUGGAUAAAAAUAGAGAUCAAUUCUGGCAGCAUGGAGUGUCUUUCUGUAAUAGCUUCCCUCUGCUAUUCUUUGCUCAGUGAAUGCCAUCGUAAUUGUUUAUGACUUAGUGCUGGAUCAUAUUAUUUUGGGGAUGAACUUCUCAAGUCCUGCUCUUACAGAGUAAACUCAUCUUUCAACUUGGAUUCUGGAAGAACACAUCAAUGUGAACAAGACUUCAUUUGAGGAUGGUCUGGUGACCAAGUUUCCGCUGUUGCUUCUACUUAUCAACAGAUCAUCAACCCUGGUAUUUCUUCUCAAUAUAAAAGCUUGGAAUUAAUUUGCUCCAAAUAAGGCCAAAGAGCUGACUUGGCUGGUGGUGAAAAAUAGAAUCAACUCCAUAGUCAAGUUAAGAUAAAUGGUUCAUCUCCAGAAUGAAAAUAAUGUAUUGUGCACAGAUGGAGUUUUUGAAACAAAUCGAGAAGUCAUUAUUUUUUGGCAAUGAAUAGCUAUCCUGGAACUUUAAAGUCUUUCAAAAAGGUGGCAAAGUUGGGAAAUUCCUUAUGUCUAGCUUGGGUAAUCAUUUAGAAAGCAAGCCCUGGUAUAUAUUUCGGGAAUGAAUAGUGGAAUUCUGAUAAGCUCUUUACAUCUUGAAUAGAAUGUAUUAUGUUUUAGAGCCUUAGAAGUAACUCACUGGACGAAAUAUGAUUAGAAGAAUGCUCAUGGAGCUUCGGUGAAGCUUCAAUGGAGUUAUCUGUUUCUUCUUUUGAACAUGGAAUUCUGAUUGUCUCUUAGUUUUGUUGGAGGCAGCAUUGCUUUUGAGAUGGUAGAAACUCUCUGAAUUAUUAGAACUCCUGCUUUCUUUUUCUAAUAUACCAAGUCAACUAUUGUUCGCUAGAAUUUUUUUACAAAAAAAUAAUAAAAUAGGAAUGUAGUUAGUGCUAACAUGCAUUUGAAAAUUUUAAUAGCUUGUGGAGCAUUGCUUUCAAUCUCUUGUGGUAAUUUCUGGGAUCACCCUUCACAUCCACCAGGUCUCCAUAAUCUCAUCAUUCAAGAAUUUUGAUAGUACCCAAUUGAAUCUUAUGUUUGUGACCAUCUGAAUGUAUAAAAAUGUAGGAUUGGUGAUUGAAACUUGAUAUUGUUUUUUUUUUUCCUUUCUGUUCUCUAUAGCGGUUUUGAUACCCUAACCAUAAAUUGUUAGCUGAAUUAUCGAAUAUCGACCUGUAUGCCUUUCAUCUAUGUCUAAUACUAAUAAUUUCUUGUCUUUGCUUGAUUUGUUGUCCAAUUUCCUACCUAUUCUCUGAGAUAUCAUUGCAUUACACGUUGAAAUAAAACUAUGCCUUCACAAACUGUAGAUUUUAUUUACUUUUUCUUUUUUUAUCUCAGCAUUUGAUUGAUAUGUUGCAAACACUACUAUCAUUUAGUUAUUGUUUGUUGAAUAAGAUUCUAAAGAACUCUCUGUUUGGUCUAUAUGAUACAUUAAUUCCACAGAAGAAUGAUAUUUAUUUGUUUCAGAACAAACUUCUGCUUUGAAUUAUAUAUGAUUCCGAUAUCUCGAGUAUGGAAAUUAUAUCAUGCUAGCUGGAGAACUAUAGAACUCCUAGAUUUUAUUAUCUAACAAAGCAUUUUGCAGAAAUCAAUGGAAAAAAGUGCAGUCUGUAAAAUUGUCACAUGGUUCAGUCUCAGAUUUUGAUUGGCAUUACCAAUUUGAAAGAUGCAUCUCACCCUGCUCCAUCAGAUGAUCUUUGAUGUCACAAAGGCCUUUGCAAGUACAUCAUCAAGGAUUGGCGGUGUCGAUCCAAAGACAGCAUUGGCAACAGUGAUUACACCAGGGUUUUGGCUGCUGAGCCCAGCAAUGGCCACGGCACUGGCAGUCCAGUUGUUGUAUUGAUAGUGUAUGAGGCCUUGAGGGAACACAAACACAUCUCCCUUGUUAAGAACCUUGGUGUAGUGCUUGUUCUCAGGGUUUGAGGUUACAAAGCCGACAAGGAUGGUGCCUUCCAACACCACAAGGACCUCAGUGGCACGCGGGUGGGUGUGUGGUGGAUUGAGUCCAAAGGGAGCAUAGUCGAUGCGAACUAAGGAGAUGCCGUAUGUAUUCAACCCAGGAAUCUGAACCACAUUGACAGGGGUCACCUUGGAACCAACCGCAUUCGAAGUGUUACCAGCCUUGUCAAGGCCACUGAAGAAGAAAUCAUCAACGGUGACCCUCUUCGAGUCCUUACAUGGGAGGCCAUUAACCAAAGCUGCACGAGAUGAUAUGCAUUAGUGACUCAAUCUAUUUGAAUUCGACAAAUGCAUGAUAAUCACCUGUCGAAUUCUCAUCGGCAACACAAAAAUCUUGGAGCUGGCCGGGAUCAGAAGCCAUGGCAGUUAUGGAGGCCAAGGCAAUGAGGGCGACGGAGAUGAUGUAGCUCGCCAUCUCUCUACUCUCUCUUGCCUAGUAAGAGACACUGCUUACUAAUGGAUGAGUUAAAGAGUAUUUAUAGAUUUUUUGAACUGUUCAUCUCUUCAGCAAAGCUGGACGGCACAGAUCCUCCUCAAAUUGUUUAUGGAAUUAUAGAGUGAAUUAGACUUGCUCCAAAUGUUGUAUUAUCACGGACGUUGUCCGGCAAUGGCCAAGUCUUGAUGAGUUGCGGGGGAGAAAUUCAUUGAUUUUA